UUGAAGAAGAACGGCGGAAUGUUUUGUCCUAGCUGUGGGAAAAAGCUGGUUGAGGAGUCGCCGAACUUUUGCAGCGGCUGUGGCGAGAGGCUUUAUCACGCAUCUUGCAUCGGAGACACUUCACUCCCAUUGAAUAAAUGUCGGCUUGAUGACCAU